rnacentral:lncRNA from 1 species
AUGCUGCCACCUGUUUGGAGGGAAACGCCUCUCUGCCUGUGGGAGGGCUACAGGACUGCACCUCCAUGCAGGGCAGUAAUGGUAAGUCACCAGCCACACCGAUGGAAACCCUCGCGCUCAGGUUUGGGGCUUGGCUCAGCAGAAAAUGGUGAGACAGAAGCACUGAGCCAUCACUGGCUUUCUGCACAAACUAACCAGUACCGAUCCAAGAAUAAAGGCAGCUUUGGUGAAUUUUGUUGCUUCAGCUCCUGCCACAGUAGAGUUGAAUGUCACUUGAGGCAAUCAGCUUGAGAGAGGAUGCACAGCCUUUUGUCCACUGUCAUAUGGCAAAACUUCUAAGAGCCGUGACACUACACCAGAGAUAUUUCAUCAGGUGGAUGAGAGUGAAAAGAUUACUCACUGCAUAUAUUACAAAUUAUAUGAAAACAGCACACUUCUGGUAAAAAAUACAGAUUUGUUUUGCAGACCCACUUUACUAUUCAACUUUGAAACACAUCGCGUAUUCUGGGAGCCAAAUCCCACUUUUUAUUAGUGCAAGUAACUUUUGACGCCUUCAUCAAUUGGAAGGUAAAAAUCUAGUCUCACUAGCAAAUUAAGCAGACUUUGGUCCUGCAGUGUCAUAUGUAACUUCUACUUCAAACAACAAGUCUGACUUGUAAGUGGAAAUUUGUUUUCUGAAAGCUGUAAAACUGAAUGCAAUAGAACCAUCUGCUGAAAAAGAAGCAGCAUUGUAUCAGAGUAGAGUAAUAAUAAUGAACCUUUGAGAGAGUAGAGGAUUUCAGAAUUAUUCUCCUUUCUAGAUCUUCUAACAAUGACACUUAGAAGAGAGCUUGACACAUCUUUGAAUUUGUUAUAAAGUUGUGUGAUUAAAAGUAUUGAUUUUAUAGCAUUUUCAUUUUCCAAAGAAGCAGAAUAACUUUUGUAUAUGACUUUUUGACUUUCCAUGUACUAUUGCUAAAUAUUGUAAAUGAACAUCUUUUAAAUGUUCAUAACUACUAGCUGAAUUAUUCCUUCUUUUGAUAACCAAAACCAGAAAUAUUUCAUUCUGGAACAGAAAGAAACGUGAUAAAAAAGAGAUGUGUGAUAAAAUAUUGCUUAUUUGUUUUGUUUUGUUUUCAAUAAAUUAAAUACUUUGGUCUGACA